GAAGUUUGGUUCCGCCCGGAAGUGUUUCCGCCCGGAACUUCCGGUAGCGCCGUAAGAGGGAAAAUCAGGGAAUUCGAUGCACCUGUGCCUAGUUAGGGACAGCGGUUGGUGAUUGGAGGAUACGCUGGACAAGGCAGUACUUAAGGCCAAGUUAUUUCACAGUCUGGGAGCUCUUUCUGGCUGGAAUUGUAUGAUUGUGAAGACAUCGCGAACCUUAAAGGUUGAGAAGUGAACGGAUUAUACGGCGAAUUGAGACGAUGUGAAAAAGGGGAUUGGAAGCGGCAUUGAUGUGAGUACUAAGAGCAAGCCGAAAGUGCCCUGUAUAUUGACCUGGCGUUGUGUAGAUCUCCCCAGGAGGAGGAGGGCGGCCCUACCCCUAAUAUAGCGUGGUGGGAGAGCCGAAGGAAUACUUAUUGAAGUAGUCACAACGACGACAUCACUAGCUAGGCCGCAUAUUCCAUCGCCAGAUCCGAACCAAGUGAAGGAAGACGGGUGUCCUUUUUGUACACGGAGUGUGGUGGGUGAGUCUUCGUGCUGUGAAAACCUAUAAUUUUGACGUGGUGCUGUAUAUUGCUGUGGGUUGCUGUGUAUUGCCGUGUGUCCUGUCAGAUAAACCCCCGCCUUCACGCACUCCGUCGCGGGAGGACAAGGAGACUGCUGGUUCUAGCCUAGUUCAGUACAGUAUAUGUUGUGAGCGUGCUUCAGAUCUCCGGAGAUAGCACGGUACGCUGUGUUCAGCCCAGAGGUGGGAGCUAUUCAAAGCAAACUAACUGUGCUUUGUGUCCAAUCUGAUACCUGUGGAGAGAAAAGGAAAGAGAGAGUGAGUAACACAAGGAGAAACAGAGGAAACCUGUACUUACAGUACGUUGUGUCCAGCCCAGAGGUGAAAGCCAUCCAAAGCAGAGUAACUGUGUUUUGUGUCCAAGUUGAUACCUGUAGAGAGGAGGAGAGAGAGUGGAUAACGCGAGGAGAAAUAGAGCGAAACCUGUACUUACAGUACGCUGUGUCCAGCCCAGAGGUGAGAGCCAUUCAAAGCAAACUAACUGUGCUAUUGUGCCCAAGUUGAUACCUGUAGAGAGGAGGAGAGAGAGUGGAUAACGCGAGGAGAAAUAGAGCGAAACCUGUACUUACAGUACGCUGUGUCCAGCCCAGAGGUGAGAGCCAUUCAAAGCAAACUAACUGUGCUAUUGUGCCCAAGUUGAUACCUGUGGAGAGAAAAGGAGAGAGAGUGGAUAACGCGAGGAGAAAUAGAGCGAAACCUGUACUUACAGUACGCUGUGUCCAGCCCAGAGGUGAGAGCCAUUCAAAGCAAACUAACUGUGCUAUUGUGCCCAAGUUGAUACCUGUGGAGAGAAAAGGAGAGAGAGUGGAUAACGCGAGGAGAAAUAGAGCGAAACCUGUACUUACAGUACGCUGUGUCCAGCCCAGAGGUGAGAGCCAUUCAAAGCAAACUAACUGUGCUAUUGUGCCCAAGUUGAUACCUGUGGAGAGAAAAAGAGAGAGUGGGUAACACGAGGAGAGACCGAGGAAACCUGUACUUACGCCGCUGCCUGUGGAGAAAGAGAAAGCGAGUGAGCACCCAAGGAACGAACUGUGUGAACCAGUACUUACUGUGAGCUGCAAUCAGCGAAGAGGUGAGAGCAAAACCAAGCCGAAUUAACUGUGCCUUUGCGUCCCAGCCGUUGCCUGUGGAGGAAGAGAAAGAGAGUGAGCACCCCGAGAACGAACUGUGUGAACCAGUACUUACCGUGAGUUGUAUUCAGCGAAGAGGAGGAAGAAGGAGGGCGCUACAGAUACCUAAGACUCUGGCCGGGCCCCGAGUCCCACGCCCCGGAUCCCCGUGGCCCCCUUGCUCCCUGACCUCUUCCCGGCCAUAGCCCAUCUGGAGGGCCGAGUCAGAGUUUAGUUUUAAUUGCCCUUUCCCUAUUCCCCAAGCUAUUUUUAAAUAUUUAAAUAAAGAUUGUUUUAUCACUUA